CUGCGAGUCUCCAUCAUUGCUCUCCGCGCAAAGAGGAUAAAACACCAACGACUCUGAGACAUCGGCGUCAACUCAGCCUCCCGCUGGCAACAGCCAAAAACCUCCCAACUCCAACUGAUAGGGAGCGAGGAAAGCGUUCUAAUCCCCUCAUGAAUAGUUCAUGACUCCCGCGAUCGGUGCGGAAGGGUUAAUGCCCAAAUCCAGAUGGUUUUUUUUCUCCACCGCGUAAUUAACACUGUUUCAUUUUUACGGGAUCAAACGACAGAAGGGAAGCGGGGGGCUUGUUUUGAUACGGCGUUAUUGGCCGCGCCUGAAGCCCCUUUUGCGUGUUUGUGUGCGAUGGCGCAGUGAUCCGGAUUCCCGCUCUGUGAUGGCGCAGCGGCGUGAACUGUCGCGUUCGGCCUUUCCCAUGAACCAAGACAGGUGGGUAGCCGCCUGGAUGAAUGGGAACUAAUACCGGAGCACUUAAGGCUUAAAUCUCCAAUUAAAAAUGCAAAAAAAAAGUAUUAACAAUAAUCAAGAUUAUGUUAAUUAUUCUAAUGUAUGCAGUCUCCGAAACUAGUGCAAACAUAGCAGCAUCCUCAUCUAGUUAAAUCGAAACGCCGUAUUGUAGGCCUAAUCAACAUCAACCUGAAAACAAAGAGAAAUUUACAGCCUCCGGCGUUAGCUUGCAAAUGCACUUUAAUCUUAACGGCUCCUUAAAAAAGCUGCCGGGUCCAUCAAUAGAAUAUUUAGUGUAAUCUCCCUACAUUCUUGUUCAGUAAAUAAAUAUUAUUUUCCUAUGGUGUUUCAGAACCUGUAUAUCACAUUUCAUAAUUUUAUAGAUAUAUAUUUGUUAGUAGAGUUAAUCUCAACAAGUAGCACAUUAGCAACUUUGCUAUUGAUUUUAUCGCCUUCCUCCGUGCACCAUCCUCAUCCUCCUCUCACUAUCCUCUCCCUCCCUGUUAUACGCGCGGACGUCACCCUCCGGAGCCAACCUGGGCAGUUUCCCUUUCCCGAGACACAAGCAGAAACAUGGCACCCGUCGGCGAUAGCCAAGGCGGGAACAUUCCGGAUCAGGGGGCUUUGUCGGUUUGGGAGAGGGAUCGCCGCAGUCCGCUCCCGGGUGCCUUCGGCGGGGACAAUAGCCCGCCGGCAGGGUGGAGACCUCCUUUUUUUUUCGUCUCGGGCCGACUGUAAUGGGAUUAGAGGUUUAUUCCGACAAAGCCCAGACUGGGCCUUCCUCCCCCGCCCGCCUGCCCGGACCCUGCCGGGCUCCUGGCUGGAUCACGCCGCCCCAGUGCCUGCUGGGUGAAAUGGAGGGGAUGAUGGGAACUGGGACGGGACUUGGACGGGCGUGGAGGCAGUGGGGUCCAGGGAUCGACGUUCCCCCUGAAGCUCGCAAACUCCAGUGGUUACCGGAUGUAUUGCGACACCCGGUGUGCAUGAUCUGGUGCCAGAACAGCCCCUGUAGUCAAUCAUGGCGGCCUCCAUGGAACUGGUGAGGGGACGAUGUCUCCAGCUCUCACACGCCUCGAUGGUGAAGAGACGACCAGAGGACCAGAGCGGAGGAGGCUUGCGUGACUGAAGCACAGGGGAGUAAAACCCGAGGCGCAAGACUGCUCAUCGGUCCGGAUGCUGCUUUUCCACGGGGUACGUGUGAGCAAGCAUUGCCCCUCUUUCUACCCCAGUGCCCCCCUUUCUUACUCUGGUUGCGUCUAAUCUUGGAGGAUUGCCUUCACGCACUUCGUAUUGUAUCAUCGUUAUCACAACAAAAAGAUUGAGCUUCUGAUAUGAAUUUCGAUUUCCAGAGACUGAGACGGGAGAUCGAUCCUAAAUUGUUGCCUUUUUUUUGUUAUGAUUUAAUAUUUGCAGAGGUUAACCCCAUUAAAUCAAAAUGUCCAACCCUGUUUUAAAUAGACACACUCCCCACAAUGCAAAAAGAUCAUAAUGACAUCAUAGUGACAUAAUGUUCUUACACUUGCCUGUUCCACUGAAGUCACCACUGUGACUUAAAAGUCGGAGGCUACAUGUGAUUUUGCCUAUGGCAACCGGAGGCCCUCCGUUCUCUUCUGAUUGGAUGAUAGACUUGCAGUGAAGAUACAAGCAUGUAAACAAUCUGUUUUAAUUGGAUGAAUGACUCCCUCCCCCCUACCUAAGCUGUGGGAGCAAUCUGAUUCAAAAUGGCUGUUCUGCAUCACCCAGAGUGGGUGUCGCUCAUAGGUGGUGGGUGAGGUAUGGGAAAUGGUUUGACAUUGUGGAUGAUGAAGAUGGCGAAGAAGAGGAGGAUGAUGAUUGAUUUCAUUGUUGUUGUUAUUAUUUAUGGCGUUAUUUUGAUUUCAACUCUGCUCCAUGGAUGUAAAGUAAAAGAUGUAGAGAAUAUCUGCAGGAAGUGGGAUCCGGCAUCUGGCUCUUUCAUUGGUUUAUCACGGUCAGGGUCAAACCAAUCAGAUUUAAGGGAAAAGAGACAGUGUGGAUCCACCGGUGCAUUGUGAAAGGGGUAGAGAUGGGUCAUAAGAAUAUGAAAAAAAAGAUUCAACACCAUAAAAAAAUUAUAUCCAUAUCAGCCAAAUGAAAACUCCUAAUUUACAUCUGAUAUGAAAAUUCCCCAUUAUUUUACAACCAAAUUUUACUAAUUUUAAUCACUAUUUUAUCAACUUGCAUUUAACUGUGUCGCCUUUUACUUCUGGUUGUUCUUUUUUACUCUAUUAAUGUCCUUCAUUAUGUAUUUGCAUGUAUUGUCCGCCUUGACUUGCAUACAGGCACUUUAUAGUCAUGAACAUGGCUUCACAAUAAUUCUAAAUUUCUCUAAAAACAUUCUUUGCUUUGUACACCAGUCCAAAAAGUAAACAUUUCUGAUAAUUUUU